AUGCGUGGAGGGUUUGGUGGCUUUAGAAGAGGACACUUCAGAAGAGGUACCAGCCCUCCUCGUCACCAGAAUCAAGAUCGAGACACUAAGCACCUCCUCGCCUUAGCACCUCUCUCUUUCAGCAGAGGCUCACUCCCUGGCCCUGGCUGGAGUCCAUCUGAGGAUGCAGCUGCAUCAGCCCUAGUUUGGGGAUUACACGGAAGGGGGUCGCCCCCCUUGGCUUUCCUGAUGCCACUGGUUAUCCUAUGCAGCCAUCAACAAGUCUGGAUCCCUCUGCACACGGUUGUGCUCUGCCUCCUCUAUGUAUGCUGAGAGUAUGGCCAGAGAUGGAGCGAAUCCUUCAGAACAGGGUCCAGGUGAUCUGCAAUCCAGAGACCCUCAACUUGCCCUGGGGGAGCCCAGGUUAGCUCCCAGCCAGACCCUGCUUCCAAAAGUCUUCAUGGUGGAAAGACUUUCAAUACCCUGGUGGCACUGUCCUCUGCUUGGGGGAACCAGGAGGUAAAUCUGGGACCCUUCAGCUCUUAGCAUCUGUGAGGUCUACUUGUAAGAAGUCCCCUCCCCCACUACCUCCCAGUUCUGCAGCUGAGACGGCUCUGCUCCCAUUUCAACCAGCACCGGAUCCAUUUAUAGCAUCAAUUUUAUUUGCUCCAGCCCCAGCUCCCUCCCGGCUCCCCAGGGGCACCCGAUCCAGAAUGCCAGGCCCUGCUUCCUCUUCUCCUGGAACACGCUGACUCCCUCCCUUGGGCGCCCGGGGAGUCGGCAGGAUAAUAACCUUCAAGAGGAAAACUCUCUUCUCCCUGCCUUCUAAUCUUCAGAGCUACCAAAUUAGAAAAGGCAUCAGAAGCCCAUCGGGCAGACUGCCGCAGGGAUGUCAUGCCAUUAACCCCGGGCCGCCUCCUGCUGGCACAGGCAGCCAGAGGAGGUGUCAGCCCCCUCCAACCCUUUCCAGCCCCUGCUUCUGUUUGGAAGUGGAAGCCGGAGGCACCUCUGUGUCUCCGUUCUCCCACCCAGACCUCAGCCUUUCCUUCACCCUUCAGCCCCAUUCCCAUCUCCCCGUCCUCACGCUCCUGCCCAGCACAAGAUCCCGUGUCCUGGGCUCCAAUCGGAACCUAGAUCCAGAGGACCCUUGUCAUCCCACUGCUCCUGUAAAGCCUGAUAGGACAGACAUCAAUAUCUGGCCUCCACACACAUGCAUGCAUACCCACAGUCCCCCCCCACACACAUACAUACAAGUUGGCUUCUCUGCCUAUGCACUCAGGUGAGCAGCCACGAAGAGAGGAGACAGUAGCUCAUUCAACUCUGUAACCAAGUGCUGCUGGGCACAUGGAUGUGUCCAGUGCGCCGUUAUUGAACAGGCAUGACUCUAGCAUGCAGAACUCGCUGCUCAUCAGGUGCCAAGCACUAAGCAUGCAGUCUCUGGCCUGUUCUAUUUUAUUACUUUUUAUUAAUUUUUAUUUUUGUUUUUUAUUUUAUUCUUUGUUUUGUUUUAUAAAACUGGAUCUUAUGCUGUCCAGGCUAAAACUCACGCUAACACACACACACAUUCACACACACACGCGCGCGCGCGUGCGCGCACACACACACACACACAACCUCAGCCUUCUAAGUGCUAGGAUUAUAGGAGUGAGCCGCCACCCACAGCCAGCUCUAUCUAGUUCUUUUGCUUAAGACAGGAUCUCACACUGUAGCUCAGGCUAUCCAGAACUCACUACAUAACCCAGGCUCCUAUUUGUGGCACUUUUCUUGCCACGGCUGCCCAAGUGCUGGGAUUACAAGCAUCAGCCAUCGCUCCGCUUGUGACUCUUCCGUUAAAGAAGGAAACUGGAUCCUAAGCAGACUGAAUGGUCACUCCUCCAAGAUUUCCAACCCGCUAGUGAUGCCAACCCAGUCGGAUAGCACCAGACCACCAGCUCUCCAAGCUACCCUGUGAGGCAAGAGGAGAACUUUGCCAGUGAGGGCGCUAGACUUCUAAGUCCCCUGUCCCAUGUCUGGGAAGCAGAAUCUUUCUUUCUUUCUUUCUUCCUGAUGCCAUCACCAGCAACUGCAAACACCACUGUGCCUUUUGAUGUACCCCAUCCAGGAAGGGGCAGCCAUCGCUGCUAUGGCACCACCACUGCCACUGUUCUGGCACGAUCUAUUGCCAAGGAAAAUUUGGUGCGGAUGCUCGAGCCUUAAUGCUUCAAGGUGUAGACCUUUUAGCCGAUGCUGUAGCUGUUACAAUGGGGCCAACGGGAAGAACUGUGAUUAUUGAACAGAGGUGGGGAAGUCCCAAAGUAACAAAAGAUGGGGUCACUGUUGCAA